rnacentral:rRNA from 1 species
UACGGAGGGUGCAAGCGUUAUCCGGAUUCACUGGGUUUAAAGGGUGCGUAGGCGGGCAGGUAAGUCCGUGGUGAAAUCUCUGAGCUUAACUCAGAAACUGCCAUGGAUACUAUUUGUCUUGAAUAUUGUGGAGGUAAGCGGAAUAUGUCAUGUAGCGGUGAAAUGCUUAGAUAUCGAGAGGAACACCUGCGGCGAAGGCGGGUAGCUGGGCCGACACUGACGCUGAGGCGCGAAAGCCAGGGGAGCGAACGGG